rnacentral:rRNA from 1 species
UGAGGAAUAUUGGUCAAUGGACGGAAGUCUGAACCAGCCAUGCCGCGUGAAGGAUGAAGGCGUACUGCGUUGUAAACUUCUUUUAUCUGGGACGAAAACGGGAUUUUUAUCUCAAUUGACGGUACCAGAGGAAUAAGCACCGGCUAACUCCGUGCCAGCAGCCGCGGUAAUACGGAGGGUGCGAGCGUUAUCCGGAUUUACUGGGUUUAAAGGGUGCGUAGGUGGGCUUAUAAGUCAGUGGUGAAAUCUCCGAGCUUAACUUGGAAACUGCCGUUGAUACUAUAGGUCUUGAAUUAUCUGGAGGUAAGCGGAAUAUGUCAUGUAGCGGUGAAAUGCUUAGAUAUGACAUAGAACACCAAUUGCGAAGGCAGCUUACUACAUAUAAAUUGACGCUGAGGCACGAAAGCGUGGGGAUCAAACA